GUAAUCUAGCCUCAUCAGUGGAUAGUUACCCAGACCUCCUGACAACAAGGAUUCAAGCUAAAACUGAAGACAGGAAAUCCCCUGUAUUUUAGAUUUAUCAAGAGGCAGGUGGCUGAAUUUGGAAAGCUCUAGUUUUUAAAGCUUGAACUUAUUGGUUGUUAGCUUUAGUUUCUUAAUGCCAUCAUUCCUCGACAAACCACCCAGGUUACUACUGAACUAAGUUUUCAAGAGGAAGUGUAACAUCUACUGGGACGAUAACACCGGGGAGAGAGGAACAAAAGUGUGACAGGCACGUGAAUGAGACAUAGAUACAAGUAGUUGACUGAUGGGUGCCUGCAGGAUGCAUGAUGUCACUGCAAAGCUGAUGUGAUCAUCUGCUGGUUUUAACUAAUAUUCACUGAAGGAGCUUUUGAACUCUUAAUCAAGACUGAAAUACCAGAAGUAUUCUGCUUUGCUGGAAACUUUGUUCUGAUAGCUCACAUGUGGCAUAGGAACCACCUCCUCUUAGGGUAAAAGGUACAAACUGGUUACAACUAACAUUUGUUUAUCCUGUUUUUGACACAUACAGGAAAAAUAAGUUAUUUCAGUAUUUCCUCCUUUUUGGAUUGGAAUAUUACUGCUUCUUUAAGCAACAUUUAUGAAGUAGAUUUUGAAUAUUUUCAAGGAUGAAAAUGUAUUUGGGAGCUAUGGCAAACAAAUCUCAACUGUAUUCCAGGGUUUCUCUGCUAAAAUCCCUGUUAUCUGGUGUUUUUCCAGUUGCUUCCAUGGGCCCAGAAACAACUUUUGCCUUGCAGUUCACAGAAUGGGGAAUAUCAGAAGUUCUAGUACAGCGAGCAAGCCGGUAGAAAUUUCAAUUCCUUUAACAUGCGAUAGAAAAAGUAAAAAAAUCUUUAGUUUCAUUUUUUGCCCAUGUUAGUACUUAAUGGGGUAAAAAAUUGCUGUGUUCUUUUCAGUCCAAUAAGUCCUCAAAUUUGGGUACUGCAUUGCAUCCACUUUCUUCUCCUCUCAGGAUUUUUUCUCAGAUUCUGUGAGGUUUUAUGAGAGAGUUACAACUCAGACUAAUGAAUGUUUGAAAUAAAUCAGCCAAGAGAUUCAAGUGAUGGAAGAAUUGUUGACAGUCAUGAUGCUCUCUGUGAGAAGAAAGGGAAUAACUCAAUCAAGUUUCAAGAUGGCAUCUGCUGAUGGCAGUUUUGUGAGGGAGCAACAUUCUGCAUAAAAUUAAAUCUACCAGGGGCUGUGUCCAGGCUGUGGUAGUGGAUUUCAAUUCUCAUAGUCUGUAUAAUCCAUGGGCUGGAUUAAGGAUAAUCUGACAAAAGAAACACCAAGUUUUUUGUUUUGUUUGUUGUUUGUUUUUUUUUUUUAAACAUGUCUCAUUUUCCCUGCCUGAGUCACCGAGCAGCUGCAUAGGCCAUUGCAGCAAUACAGAAGCAGCUGCAGGCCAGACACGAGUGAGGGAGAGGGAGAAGGAGGAACCAGGGAGAAAUAAAGCAGGUACUGCUGUUGAGUGGAGUUGUUGCUCAGGCUCUGGCUCCUAGGAAGGGAAAGGAAUGUCUGCCUCGAAGGUCCUGGCAGGAUACACACUCAGCUGACAUGGCCUGGAAACAUGCAGUUCCAUGAUUCAGUCCGUAGUCUCCAUUGACUACACUGAGAGCUUGUGUAGCUCUUCAGUGAUGGACACCCUCACCAAAACAGCUGCAGCGAAGUUAAGAGGAGCCUGAAUUUCAUACUUCAUCUUUAGAGAGCCACACUUGGAUCUAUAACCUGAAUCUAAAGGUGAAACAUGCUUUGACUUGUGGCCCUUCAUUCUUGCCAGUAUUAAUGGGCUGGAGUUGUAUACUUUUUAAUAUGGUAUGACAGGAAUUGGUAGAACAGUUAGGACAGCUUGCUGGAUAUACAAAUUUUCUAAUAUUGGCCCCAGUUUCUUAAUGCAUUUUGUGGGUGCUGGAAAAGUAUCCACCAUUUUUACUCUGCUGCAAAAAAGCUCAAAAAAGAAAAAGCUCAAAGUGUCUAACAAGAAGAAGGCACACAUUGAUGGCCAGAGCCAUCUCGAUACAGAAUAUCUCAAAACUGAAGUGACCUGCAAGGAUCACUAUUUUAUUUUUCAACUUCAGGUGUCAUCUUUAGAAAUUUUGAUAUUCUCCAGUGAGACUUGGAAUAUCUUCCAGCGGAAAUCCUGUUUCAAGAAACCAGGAUGUUUUGCCAUGUUUCAAUCAGCACCCAGUGCAGGAAGUUUGCUCCAUAUGCAGAGAAGAGGCUGUGAAGUGGUAGUGCAAAUUACUUCCUUUAUUAUCUUAAGUAAGGGAAAAUGGUGACAAAUUGCAACACACAAAAUUCAGAUAAAACAUGAAGAAAAAUGUUCAUUUCAGGAGGGAGGUAGAAUCUCUAUUGUGAGAGAUUUUCAAGAAUUUAUACAAAACCUUGACUGACCUGGCAUGGUCUGAGCUAUAAUCCCAUUUCAAGCAGGAGACUGAAUUGUGCCAUGCCUAGAGAUCUCUUCCAGGCAACAUUUCCAUGGUCUUGCACUAUGUCACUUCACUUUCAAUUGACUGAUUUCUCUGACAGUAUCUGAACAUCUUUUUCAGAGCCUGUCAUAAUAAUUGAACUUAAUAAUUCUGGAGAUUUUGAUGUUACUGUAGUCCAUAUGAAUAACUAGGACAUUCGGGAAAACUUUCUGUAAAUUCUUCUCUAUUGAACAGUUAUCUAGCAGUUUUUGAUCUGUACGUGAACUUUUUAAAUACUAUUUGUAUAUUAAAAUUUGUGUCCUGCUUUGUUGCUGGCAUACUGGUUAUCUGAAAUCCAUGAGGUCUUCAUCAUGUUGAAGAAUUGUAGUCUGUGGAAAUGAAUAUCAGUGUUUUAAAAAAAAUUCUGUCUGUAAAACCUUGCACCUUGCACACUUCAAUGAUAUUUUUCUUUACCCGUGAGCUUUUAAAAUACUUUUUGAAACGCUAUUUGCACUUUAAAAUAUUUCUACUUUGAAAUCUACUAUGCAAAUAGUUCCUUUCAUAAAAUCAAGAAAAUAGAAUGUUAAAUAUGUAUAGGAAUAGUUGCCAGAUGGCCAGAGCAACAGUCUGGAGCUACUAAAUGGAAAACAUUCUUCUUUAUUAGUUCAAGGCAAAAACAUAUCUGUUAGGCACAGCCCUAAGUCAGGUAUUUAGCCAUAAAACACCUCCAAGUUCCCCAAGAGACAGUCAGGAAAUUACCUUUAAUCCUACUGAGCCAGGGCACGUCUGUGGUUAGGUUGAGAGAGAGGUGUACCUUCCUCUCUUUCCUAUUUCUGCAGUCUAAAGUACAGCACAGUUCCAGAGGGUGGGGAGGUAAAGUCUCUGUAUAUUUAGUCUCAAAUUCUCUGGCUUUCUCUUCUAAUUUAUGGUACCCUUAUGUAAGAACAAAUUAGUAAAAUUUUUUUAUGUCUCUUUCUUCUUCUUUCUUCAUUAUUUUGUCCUAAACUUUUAAUUGGCUACCUUGAAGCUGUAUCAAGAGAAAGCUAUGACAUAGAAAUAAUCAUGGCAUUAUUGAAUUAAUGUACACUUCUUUUAGAUCAAUGUACAUUUUAUUUAUAUUAAAUUGUUGUCAACCAUGACAAAUCCUUAUAAAGUGUUCAAAACAGAUCAUGUGCCUUAGUAAAAAAUGGAAUACUCAGAUAUCUUUUUAAACCUCUUUAGAUGUUUAUAGAAGAUUUAUAAUAUUUUUCAAAAGAACAGAUAAUUUUUAUAGUGCACCAGAUUAACACAGAUUUUUUAUAGCAUGAAUCACUAAAGAAAAAUAAUCAAAACCUGCCCUGCCUCACUUGUGAGCUACUGAGGACUGUUCAUGCACUGUGUAAUGCUUUA